UACGUAGGGGGCAAGCGUUAUCCGGAUUUACUGGCUGUAAAGGGGGCGCAGACGGCGAUGCAAGCCAGGAGUGAAAGCCCGGGGCCCAACCCCGGGACUGCUCUUGGAACUGCGUGGCUGGAGUGCAGGAGGGGCAGGCGGAAUUCCUGGUGUAGCGGUGAAAUGCGUAGAUAUCAGGAGGAACACCGGUGGCGAAGGCGGCCUGCUGGACUGCAACUGACGUUGAGGCCCGAAAGCGUGGGGAGCAAACAGG
rnacentral:rRNA from 1 species